rnacentral:rRNA from 1 species
UACAGAGGUCUCAAGCGUUGUUCGGAUUCAUUGGGCGUAAAGGGUGCGUAGGCGGCGCGGUAAGUCGGGUGUGAAAUCUCGGGGCUUAACUCCGAAACUGCAUUCGAUACUGCCGUGCUUGAGGACUGGAGAGGAGACUGGAAUUUACGGUGUAGCAGUGAAAUGUGUAGAUAUUCGGAAGAACACCAGUGGCGAAGGCAGCGAACUGGCCCUAUAUUGACGCUCAGGCACGAAAGCAUGGGGAUCAAACAGG